rnacentral:ncRNA from 2 species
UAGUUGAGUCUGAAAGUCGGUUCUAGUGGGGAUCAGCCGCUAGAGGAAACGGGGAAAGUGCAGUGAGAAUCUGCCGCUGUCCCGCAACUGUGAAGGAGAAAUAUAUCACCUCCGAGUCAGAAUGCCCGCCGAUCGCUAGUCCAUGCU